rnacentral:lncRNA from 1 species
UCACCUUCUUUGUUGGAGAACUCAUACUACUAAGAUGAGAAGAAGAGUUGACUGAAAAUAUGAGAAGUACGUCUCUGAUAGUGUGUUUUUAUAGAGGAAGUUGAGUGUCUUGUACGUUGUAUUUUGGAAGAUGGAACAUCCGAUCAUUUAAUGCAUGCAAUGAUGACUUCUGAGGGUUUAUACUUUUGAAAGACGUAUGACACCUUGAGACACGUAGAAAUAG